GACGAACGCUGGCGGCGUGCUUAACACAUGCAAGUCGAACGGAAAGGCCCUGCUUUUGUGGGGUGCUCGAGUGGCGAACGGGUGAGUAACACGUGAGUAACCUGCCCUUGACUUUGGGAUAACUUCAGGAAACUGGGGCUAAUACCGGAUAGGAGCUCCUGCUGCAUGGUGGGGGUUGGAAAGUUUCGGCGGUUGGGGAUGGACUCGCGGCUUAUCAGCUUGUUGGUGGGGUAGUGGCUUACCAAGGCUUUGACGGGUAGCCGGCCUGAGAGGGUGACCGGCCACAUUGGGACUGAGAUACGGCCCAGACUCCUACGGGAGGCAGCAGUGGGGAAUAUUGCACAAUGGGCGGAAGCCUGAUGCAGCAAUGCCGCGUGCGGGAUGACGGCCUUCGGGUUGUAAACCGCUUUCGCCUGUGACGAAGCGUGAGUGACGGUAAUGGGUAAAGAAGCACCGGCUAACUACGUA
rnacentral:rRNA from 1 species